rnacentral:rRNA from 1 species
GACGAACGCUGGCGGCGUGCUUAACACAUGCAAGUCGAACGGAAAGGCCCUGCUUUUGUGGGGUGCUCGAGUGGCGAACGGGUGAGUAACACGUGAGUAACCUGCCCUUGACUUUGGGAUAACUUCAGGAAACUGGGGCUAAUACCGGAUAGGAGCUCCUGCUGCAUGGUGGGGGUUGGAAAGUUUCGGCGGUUGGGGAUGGACUCGCGGCUUAUCAGCUUGUUGGUGGGGUAGUGGCUUACCAAGGCUUUGACGGGUAGCCGGCCUGGGAGGGUGACCGGCCACAGUGGGACUGGGAUACGGCGCAGACUCCAACGGGAGGCAGAAGUGGGGAGUGUUGCACAAUGGGCGGAAGCCUGAAGCAGCAACGCCGCGUGGGGGAUGACGGGCUUCGGGUUGUAAAACGCUUUCGCCUGUGACGAAGCGUGAGUGACGGUAAUGGGUAAGGAAGCAACGGCUAACUACGUG